rnacentral:rRNA from 1 species
GAUGAACGCUGACAGCAUGCUUAACACAUGCAAGUCGAAUUGUGGUGGACGGGUGAGUAACGCGUAAAGAACUUGCCUCCCAGAUAGGGACAACAUUUGGAAACGAAUGCUAAUACCUGAUACUGUGAGAGAGCUUUGCGUCCCAUUAGCUAGUUGGAGAGGUAACGGCUCACCAAGGCGAUGAUGGGUAGCCGGCCUGAGAGGGUGAUCGGCCACAAGGGGACUGAGAGACGGCCGUUACGCCUACGGGAGGCAGCAGUGGGGAAUAUUGGACAAUGGACCAAAGUCUGAUCCAGCAAUUCUGUGUGAAAGAUGAAGUUUUCGGAAUGUAAAGUGCUUUCAGUAGGGAAGCGGUACCAACAGAAGAAGCGACGGCUAACUACGUGCCAGCAGCCGCGGUAAUAC